CCAAUAGCGUAUAUUAAAGUUGUUGCAGUUAAAAAGCUCGUAGUUGAAUUUCGGGGUUAGUAAGUUGGUCAUGCCUUUGGUAUGCACUGGCUUUACUGAUUCCUCCUUCUUGACGAACCGUGAUGUCAUUAAUUUGGUGUUGCGGGAAAUCAGGACUGUUACUUUGAAAAAAUUAGAGUGUUUAAAGCAGGCUAACGCUUGAAUACAUUAGCAUGGAAUAAUGAAAUAGGACGUUAAUCCUAUUUUGUUGGUUUCUAGGAUCGACGUAAUGAUUAAUAGGGAUAGUUGGGGGCAUUAGUAUUCAAUUGUCAGAGGUGAAAUUCUUGGAUUUAUUGAAGACUAACUACUGCGAAAGCAUUUGCCAAGGAUGUUUUCAUUAAUCAAGAACGAAAGUUAGGGGAUCGAAGACGAUCAGAUACCGUCGUAGUCUUAACCAUAAACUAUGCCGACUAGGGAUCGGAUGAUGUUAAUUCUUUAAUGACUCAUUCGGCGCCUUAC
rnacentral:rRNA from 1 species